ACAACUUUCAACAAUGGAUCUCUUGGCUCUCGCAUCGAUGAAGAACACAGCGAAAUGUGAUAAGUAAUGUGAAUUGCAGAAUCCAGUGAAUCAUCGAAUCUUUGAACGCAUCUUGUGCUCCUUGGCAUUCCGAGGAGCAUGCCUGUUUGAGUGUCAUUAAA
rnacentral:rRNA from 1 species